rnacentral:tmRNA from 1 species
GGGGUUGAUUCUGGAUUCGACGGGAUUUGCGAAACCCAAGGUGCAUGCCGAGGGGCGGUUGGCCUCGUAAAAAGCCGCAAAAAAAUAGUCGCAAACGACGAAAACUACGCUUUAGCAGCUUAAUAACCUGCUUAGAGCCCUCUCUCCCUAGCCUCCGCUCUUAGGACGGGGAUCAAGAGAGGUCAAACCCAAAAGAGAUCGCGCGGAUGCCCUGCCUGGGGUUGAAGCGUUAAAACGAAUCAGGCUAGUCUGGUAGUGGCGUGUCCGUCCGCAGGUGCCAGGCGAAUGUAAAGACUGACUAAGCAUGUAGUACCGAGGAUGUAGGAAUUUCGGACGCGGGUUCAACUCCCGCCAGCUCCACCA